rnacentral:rRNA from 1 species
UACGUAGGGUGCGAGCGUUAAUCGGAAUUACUGGGCGUAAAGCGUGCGCAGGCGGUUUGCUAAGUCCGGUGUGAAAUCCCCGGGCUCAACCUGGGAACUGCAUUGGUGACUGGCAGGCUAGAGUAUGGCAGAGGGGGGUAGAAUUCCACGUGUAGCAGUGAAAUGCGUAGAGAUGUGGAGGAAUACCGAUGGCGAAGGCAGGCCCCUGGGCCAAUACUGACGCUCAUGCACGAAAGCGUGGGGAGCAAACAGG